UACGAAGGGGGCUAGCGUUGUUCGGAAUUACUGGGCGUAAAGCGCACGUAGGCGGGUUAUUAAGUCAGGGGUGAAAUCCCCGGAGCUCAACUCCGGAACUGCCUUUGAUACUGGUAAUCUAGAGAUCGGAAGAGGUUAGUGGAAUUCCCAGUGUAGAGGUGAAAAUUCGUAGAUAUUGGGAAGAACACCAGUGGCGAAGGCGGCUAACUGGUCCGAUACUGACGCUGAGGUGCGAAAGCGUGGGAGCAAACAGG
rnacentral:rRNA from 1 species